UACGAGGGGAGCUAGCGUUAUUCGGAAUUACUGGGCGUAAAGCGCACGUAGGCGGCUUUGUAAGUAAGAGGUGAAAGCCCAGAGCUCAACUCUGGAACUGCCCUUGAGACUGAGGGACUUGGGUACGGGAGAGGUGAGUGGAAUUCCGAGUGUAGAGGUGAAAUUCGUAGAUAUUCGGAAGAACACCAGUGGCGAAGGCGGCUCACUGGACUGGUAUUGACGCUGAGGUGCGAAAGCGUGGGGAGCAAACAGG
rnacentral:rRNA from 1 species